rnacentral:rRNA from 1 species
CGCCUGUUUAUCAAAAACAUUGCCUGCUGAAAAACAAAUUUCAGGUAAUUCCUGCCCAAUGAAAAUUUUAAAUGGCCGCGGUAAACCGUGCAAAGGUAGCAUAAUCAUUUGCCUCUUAAUUAGGGGCUGGCAUGAACGGAUUAAACGAGAAAAAAGCUGUCUCAAGGAGAACACUAAAACCUAUCCUUUAGGUGAAAAGACCUAAAUAAAUAUAGAAGACAAGAAGACCCUAUCGCGCUUUAUUUAUACUUUCCCCAUCAAGAGAAAGAAAAAUUUGGUUGGGGCGACCCAUGACACCCAAAAACGUCUAUAACCCACAAGACUCACAAGUCCACUUAAUGACCCUAUUAAGAUUAAAGAACAAGUCACCGUAGGGAUAACAGGCUAAUCCCCUCCUAGAGCCCAAAUCGACGAGGGGGGUUGGCACCUCGAUGUUGGCUUAGGGCAUCCUUUAGAUGUAGCCGUCUAAAAAGGCAGGUUUGUUCAACCUAAUUCGCCCUACAUGAUCUGAGUUC